rnacentral:rRNA from 1 species
UGAGGGGAACCGCCUGAACUGAAACAUCUAAGUAGGGCGAGGAAGAGAAAUCAACUGAGAUUCCGUAAGUAGUGGCGAGCGAACGCGGAAGAGGCCAAACCGAGAGUAGUAAUACUUUCGGGGUUCGGACAGAAUACGGCAUUGUAAAGGUUUAGUGGAAUGGAAUGGGAAGUCCAACCGAAGAAGGUGAGAGUCCUGUACACGAAAAGCCUGAACAGCCAUCUGUAUCCAGAGUACCGCCGGACACGUGAAACCCGGUGGGAAUAUGGGGGGACCAUCCUCCAAGCCUAAAUACUACUCGGUGACCGAUAGUGAAGAAGUACUGUGAAGGAAAGGUGAAAAGUACCCCUGACGGGGAGUGAAAAAGAACCUGAAACCUUGUGUUUACAAGCACCGAAAGCUCAUCAAAGAGCGAUCGGGUACCUUUUGUAGAAUGGUCCGGCGAGUGAAUGUAACCGGCGAGGUUAAGCACUUAAGGUGUGAAGCCGCAGCGAGAGCAAGUCUGAAUAGGGCGUAUGAAGUCGGUUGUAUUCGACCCGAAACCGGGUGACCUACCCAUGGUCAGGUUGAAGUAAAGGUAAAACUUUAUGGAGGACCGAACCGACUCCCGUUGAAAUGGUAGCGGAUGAACUGUGGGUAGCGGAGAAAUUCCAAUCGAACCCGGAGAUAGCUGGUUCUCUCCGAAAUAGCUUUAGGGCUAGCCUUGAAAUAGAUUACCGGAGGUAAAGCACUGAAUUGGCUAGGGGCCGAGAGGUUACUGAACCUUAUCAAACUAAGAAUGCCGGAUAAUCGUUUUUCAGGAGUCAGACAGUGGGAGAUAAGUUUCAUUGUCAAAAGGGAAACAGCCCAGACCCACAGCUAAGGUCCCCAAGUAUAGUUAAGUGGAAAAGGAUGUGGAAUUGCACAGACAACCAGGAUGUUGGCUUAGAAGCAGCCACUCAUUAAAAGAGUGCGUAAUAGCUCACUGGUCGAGUGACUCUGCGCGGAAAAUGUAACGGGGCUAAGUAUACAACCGAAGCUUGGGAUUGUCUAAAGACAGUGGUAGGGGAGCGUCGUGUACGGGGUGAAGUCGCAUCGGAAGGAGCGGUGGACUGUACACGAGUGAGAAUGCCGGAAUGAGUAGCGAGAAUUAUGUGGGAAUCAUAAUGGCCGAAAAUCUAAGGUUUCUUGGGGAAGGUUCGUCCGCCCAAGGUAAGCCGGGAGCUAAGGCGAGGCCGCAAGGCGUAGUCGAUGCACAUACGGUUGAAAUUCCGUAGCCGCCGAAAUUGUUAAGCACAGGGACACAUAGAGAUAUCCGAACCCGGGCGUUGGUUGACCCGGGCGCAAGGGACCGAACAUCAGUAGGGAAGUCGGAGAUGCUCUGUGGCGAGAAAAGCUGUGUGUAUUGAUUAGGCGCCCGUACCGCAAACCGACACAGGUAGAUGAGGAGAGAAUCCUAAGGCCAACGGGAGAAGGGUUGUUAAGGAACUCGGCAAAUUGACCCCGUAACUUCGGGAUAAGGGGAGCCUCCUACGGGAGGCCGCAGUGAAUAGGCCCAAGCAACUGUUUACCAAAAACACAGGUCUCUGCUAAAUCGAAAGAUGACGUAUAGGGGCUGACGCCUGCCCGGUGCCGGAAGGUUAAGAGGAGAGCUUAGCGCAAGCGAAGGUUUGAAUUGAAGCCCCGGUAAACGGCGGCCGUAACUAUAACGGUCCUAAGGUAGCGAAAUUCCUUGUCGGGUAAGUUCCGACCCGCACGAAUGGUGUAACGAUCUGGGCACUGUCUCAACUACCCACCCGGCGAAAUUGUAGUACCGGUGAAGAUGCCGGUUACCUGCGGCAAGACGGAAAGACCCCAUGGAGCUUUACUGUAGCCUGAUAUUGGGUUUCGGAAAUCUAUGUACAGGAUAGGCGGGAGACUGGGAAACAUGAGCGUCAGCUUGUGUGGAGUCGAUGUUGGGAUACCGCCCUUAGGUUUCUGGAAUUCUAACCUGCGGCCGUGAAUCCGGUCGGGGGACAUUGUCAGGUGGGCAGUUUGACUGGGGCGGUCGCCUCCGAAAAGGUAACGGAGGCGCUCAAAGGUUAGCUCAGCACGGACGGAAACCGUGCCUCUGAGUGUAAACGCAAAAGCUAGCCUAACUGCGAGGGUGACGGCCCGAGCAGUAACGAAAGUUGGAGUUAGUGAUCCGGCGGUAUGUGAAUGGAAAUGCCGUCGCUCAACGGAUAAAAGCUACCCUGGGGAUAACAGGCUGAUCUCCCCCAAGAGUCCACAUCGACGGGGAGGUUUGGCACCUCGAUGUCGGCUCAUCACAUCCUGGGGCUGUAUUCGGUCCCAAGGGUUCGGCUGUUCGCCGAUUAAAGUGGUACGCGAGCUGGGUUCAGAACGUCGUGAGACAGUUCGGUCCCUAUCUGUCGUGGGCGCAGGAUAUUUGAUGGGAGCUGUCCCUAGUACGAGAGGACCGGGAUGGACGCACCUCUGGUGCACCAGUUGUCACGCCAGUGGCACAGCUGGGCAGCU